UACGGAGGGUGCAAGCGUUAUCCGGAUUCACUGGGUUUAAAGGGUGCGUAGGUGGGUCUGUAAGUCAGUGGUGAAAUCUCCGUGCUUAACAUGGAAACUGCCAUUGAUACUAUAGGUCUUGAAUUAUCUGGAGGUUAGCGGAAUAUGUCAUGUAGCGGUGAAAUGCUUAGAUAUGACAUAGAACACCAAUUGCGAAGGCAGCUGGCUACAGGUAUAUUGACACUUGAGGCACGAAAGCGUGGGGAUCAAACAGG
rnacentral:rRNA from 1 species